UACGUAGGGGGCUAGCGUUGUCCGGAUUUAUUGGGCGUAAAGAGCUCGUAGGCGGCUCACUAAGUCGGGUGUGAAAUUUCGAGGCUCAACCUCGAAACGCCACCCGAUACUGGUGUGGCUAGAGUCCGGUAGGGGAGCGUGGAAUUCCUGGUGUAGCGGUGAAAUGCGCAGAUAUCAGGAAGAACACCCGUGGCGAAAGCGGCUCUCUGGAACGGUACUGACGCUGAGACGCGAAAGCGUGGGGAGCGAACAGG
rnacentral:rRNA from 1 species